GACGAACGCUGGCGGCGUGCUUAACACAUGCAAGUCGAACGAUGAAGCCGGAGCUUGCUCUGGUGAAUUAGUGGCGAACGGGUGAGUAACACGUGAGUAACCUGCCCUUGACUCUGGGAUAACUGCGGGAAACUGUAGCUAAUACCGGCUGCGACUCUCGGAGGCAUCUCCUGGGGGUGGAAAGAAUUUCGGUCAAGGAUGGACCCGCGGCCUAUCAGCUAGUUGGUGAGGUAAAGGCUCACCAAGGCGACGACGGGUAGCCGGCCUGAGAGGGUGACCGGCCACACUGGGACUGAGACACGGCCCAGACUCCUACGGGAGGCAGCAGUGGGGAAUAUUGCACAAUGGGCGCAAGCCUGAUGCAGCAACGCCGCGUGAGGGAUGACGGCCUUCGGGUUGUAAACCUCUUUUAGCAGGGAAGAAGCGAAAGUGACGGUACCUGCAGAAAAAGCACCGGCUAACUACGUGCCAGCAGCCGCGGUAA
rnacentral:rRNA from 1 species